UUGGAAGAGGAUUAGAUGAUCUUAAUAUGUCUGUCAACUCACAGUGAUGUUCUGCCACGGAUGGCAGAACAAGGCAGCAUCGAGCCACGGAUGGCUCGUUGUUGCCGCUCACGUCCGCCUUAACCCCACCCCAUCAGACAUAUUUAGCUCAUCUUAUUCUCGCA
rnacentral:ncRNA from 1 species